rnacentral:rRNA from 1 species
UGAGCAACCUGCCUCUGGCUUCGGGAUAACUCCGGGAAACCGGGGCUAAUACCGGAUGUGACAUGCCCGCGCAUGGGGGUGUGUGGAAAGUUUUUCGGCCAGGGAUGGGCUCGCGGCCUAUCAGCUUGUUGGUGGGGUGAUGGCCCACCAAGGCGACGACGGGUAGCCGGCCUGAGAGGGUGACCGGCCACACUGGGACUGAGACACGGCCCAGACUCCUACGGGAGGCA